CUGUGUAGCAUCCAUGCUGUAGACCAGAGCGUCCUUCUCCUGAGGCCAGCAGCUGAGCUAUCCAGGGCUAGUGUGUACAGUAUGUUCAGCUAUCCUCAAGAGUACCCCAGUGUCAUCACAGACUCUUACAGUGACUACUGCACUAUCCACAAGAGUCUGGGAACCAUCAGUUCCCCUCAGAGUACUCUUCCAUUAGGAACAAUGUCACCCUUCAUGUACAACAGCUAUUCUUAUGCAGUUUCCCAACCAGAUGUUUAUGAACUUCUGAGGUGAUUCAGGGUCUGCUAAGCUACCUGUCACAGUACCUGACACUAUCACAGACUGGAAGGCCAUGACUUUCUGCACCUCAGAGAGCCAUGGGUUGGGAAUCUCAGAGACCAUCAGCC
rnacentral:lncRNA from 1 species